GACGAACGCUGGCGGCGUGCUUAACACAUGCAAGUCGAGCGGAAAGGCCACUUCGGUGGUACUCGAGCGGCGAACGGGGGAGUAACACGUGAGUAAUCUGCCCCUGGCUUUGGGAGAGCCACCGGAAACGGUGAUUAAUACCGGAUACGACCACUUCUCGCAUGGGAUGGUGGGGGAAAGUUCUUCGGCCAGGGAUGUGCUCGCGGCCUAUCAGCGUGAUGGUGGGGUAAUGGCUCACCAUGGCUUCGACGGGUAGCCGGCCUGAGAGAGUGACCGGGCACACUGGGACUGAGACACGGCCCAGACACCUAAGGGAGGCAGCAGUGGGAAAUAUUGGACAAUGGGCGGAAGCCUGAUCCAGCAACGCCGCGUGAGGGAUGACGGCCUUCGGGUUGUAAACCUCUUUCAGUACCGACGAAGCGCAAGUGACGGUAGGUACAGAAGAAGCACCGGCCAACUACGUGCCAGCCGCCGCCGUAAAAC
rnacentral:rRNA from 1 species